GUGCCAGCAGCUGCGGUUAUACAAAAAAUACAAGUUAAUUUUAUUAAAUUAAGUUAAAUUGAUAAAUAUUUAAUAAUAAAAAAAUUUUUAAGUGAAAUUUUAAUUUUUUUAUUUUUAAAAUUAAAAAAAGUGUUGAAACUAAAAAAUUUUGUUAAUAAACUAGGAUUAGAUACCCUAUUAUAAAAAAUGUAUUUUAUAAAAAUUAGAGUAGUAGUAGUUAUGGUCUUGAAACUCAAAAAAUUUGGCGGUAUUUUAGUCUAUUCAGAGGAACCUGUGGUAUAAUCGAUAAUCCACGAUGAAUCUUACUUAUUUUUGUUUUUCAAUUUGUAUACCGCCGUUAUUUAAAAAUUUUUUGAAAAUAAUAAUUUUUAUAAUUUUUUAUUAAAUAGAAAGUCAGGUCAAGGUGCAGUUUAUAUUUAAGUAUUUCAUGGGUUACAAUAAAUUUAUUUAAAUGGAUUAAAUUAUGAAAUUAAUUUAUGAAGGUGGAUUUGGCAGUAAAUUUUUAAAGAUUAGAAAAUUGAUUUUAGCUCUA
rnacentral:rRNA from 1 species